AACCUCCGCAAUGUGAGAAAUCGCGACGGGGGGAUCCCAAGUGCCAUUCUUAACGGGAUGGCUUUUCAUUAGUGUAAAGAGCUUUUGGAAUAAGAGCUGGGCAAGACCGGUGCCAGCCGCCGCGGUAACACCGGCAGCUCUAGUGGUAACAAUUUUUAUUGGGCCUAAAGCGUCCGUAGCCGGUUUAAUAAGUCUCUGGUGAAAUCCUGCAGCUUAACUGUGGGAAUUGCUGGAGAUACUGUUGAACUUGAGGUCGGGAGAGGUUAGCGGUACUCCCAGGGUAGAGGUGAAAUUCUGUAAUCCUGGGAGGACCACCUGUGGCGAAGGCGGCUAACUGGAACGAACCUGACGGUGAGGGACGAAAGCUAGGGGCGCGAACCGGAUUAGAUACCCGGGUAGUCCUAGCCGUAAACGAUGCGGACUUGGUGUUGGGAUGGCUUUGAGCCGCUCCGGUGCCGAAGGGAAGCUGUUAAGUCCGCCGCCUGGGAAGUACGGUCGCAAGACUGAAACUUAAAGGAAUU
rnacentral:rRNA from 1 species